UACAGAGGGUGCGAGCGUUAAUCGGAAUUACUGGGCGUAAAGGGUGCGUAGGUGGUUUUAUAAGUCAGAUGCGAAAACCCUGGGCUUAACCUAGGAAUGGCAUUUGAUACUGUGGAACUAGAGUUUGGAAGAGGAAAGUGGAAUUUCCGGUGUAGCGGUGAAAUGCGUAGAUAUCGGAAGGAACAUCAGUGGCGAAGGCGACUUUCUGGUCCGACACUGACACUGAGGCACGAAAGCGUGGGGAGCAAACAGG
rnacentral:rRNA from 1 species